rnacentral:tRNA from 1 species
GGGGUGUAACUCAGUGGUUUAGAGUGCCUGUCUGUCGAACAGGAAGUCGCGAGUAACUCCGUUGGAGACGCUUCGCGCACAAAUCUCGUCACCCCCG